rnacentral:rRNA from 1 species
CCUACGGGGGGCUGCAGUAGGGAAUCUUUCACAAUGGGCGAAAGCCUGAUGGAGCAACGCCGCGUGCAGGAUGAAGGCCCUCGGGUUGUAAACCGUUUUUAUAAGCGAGAAAUAUGAUGGUAACUGUUGAAUAAGGAUCGGCUAACUACGUGCCAGCAGCAGCGGUCAUACGUAGGAUACGAGCAUUAUCCGGAGUGACUGGGUGUAAAGAGUUGCGUAUGAGGGAUAAUAAGUAGCUAGUGAAAUCUGGAGGGUCAACCAUUCAGACUAUUAGCUAAACUGUUAAGCUCGAGACCGUUAGAGGUAACUGGAAUUUCUAGUGUAGCGGUGAAAUCCGUAGAUAUUAGGAGGAACACCAAUUGCGUAGGCAGGUUACUGGACCGGUUCUGACACUGAGGCACGAAAGCGUAGGGAGCAAACAGGAUUAGAUACCCUUGUAGUC